rnacentral:rRNA from 1 species
UACGUAGGUGACAAGCGUUGUCCGGAUUUACUGGGCGUAAAGAGCGCGCAGGCGGUCGAUCAAGUCGAGUGUGAAAGCCCCCGGCUCAACUGGGGAGGGUCAUUCGAUACUGAUCGACUCGAAGGCAGGAGAGGGUAGCGGAAUUCCCGGUGUAGUGGUGAAAUGCGUAGAUAUCGGGAGGAACACCAGCGGCGAAGGCGACUACCUGGCCUGUUCUUGACGCUGAGGCGCGAAAGCUAGGGGAGCAAACGGG